rnacentral:rRNA from 1 species
GCGUUGUCCGGAUUUACUGGGCGUAAAGAGCGCGCAGGCGGUCGGAUAAGUCGAAUGUGAAAGCCCCCGGCUCAACUGGGGAGGGUCAUUCGAUACUGUUCGACUCGAAGGCAGGAGAGGGAAGUGGAAUUCCCGGUGUAGUGGUGAAAUGCGUAGAUAUCGGGAGGAACACCAGUGGCGAAGGCGACUUUCUGGCCUGUUCUUGACGCUGAGGCGCGAAAGCUAG